AGCAAUUCAACUAUUAAAAUUUAAUAUUAAAAUUUCCAUUUCCCAGCAUUACUGGCACAACACUGGCUCCAUCGCCUCCUCCGCCGGCAGGACCUUUGUGCCGCAUUCCUGCUGGCUCGUUUGCCCGAUUGUUCGAUGCGCCCAAAUGCAUUUCAAUUAAAACAUAUUUAAGGGCUUUAGCCGUCCGAAACUGCUGCCCAUUCCGCAUUGGACCCAUUCAUCAAGGGUUCAGGUGGCGCACAACAGGGUGAGGAUGUGGAACAGGAGCAAGAGCAGAGGAGGAAGAGGAGCAGUGGAGGCCAUCGAUUAUGUGGCAGCAUCUCGCUCGCUGUUAAUCAGCCGCUGCACCGGGCCAAUCGAUUAAAUGGGCGACAGAACAGCCGGGUCCUUCAUGUCAAUGGGCCACCAUGGUCGUGCAUCCUCCAAAGGCUCGGCAAGCAAAGUGCCCGGGAGGGAGGCAGGGAAGUGCGGCAUGGGAUCACGGGAUCAACUACCAGCUGUCGGAGUUAUUUAAUGAAAUGGACACCCUUCUCCCACAACCACACCGUCGGCAUUCCUCGCCAUCACAAAGUGUCCACCAUAUAAAAGGGGUUUCUUUGCAACGAAACGCUCUUGGCGAAAAAUCCCUUUUUGGCCCGGUUUUCCCGUCAUUAUUUUCAUAUUAAACCCGCGAACAAGGUGCCACACAGAAUCUAUACAUACUCGGCAAACAGGCAUUUUUGGAAAGUGAAGCCAAAUGAAAGUUUCGUGGGAUCGGGCAAAAGCCCCCACCACAAAUUUCGAAACAUUGAAGCUAGGAAAUAUCAAGG
ensembl:ncRNA lncRNA:CR46017 long non-coding RNA:CR46017